rnacentral:rRNA from 1 species
AUGCAAGUCGAGGGGCAGCAUGUCCAGCAAUGGAUGAUGGCGACCGGCGUAAGGGUGCGUAACGCGUGAGCAACAUGCCCUAUACAGGAGGAUACUCCGGGGAAACCCGGUCUAAUACUCCAUAGUAUUAUUGAGAGGCAUCUCUUAAUAAUUAAAGCUUCGGUGGUAUAGGAUUGGCUCGCGUGACAUUAGCCAGAUGGUGAGGUAACGGCUCACCAUAGCAACGAUGUCUAGGGGUUUUGAGAGGAAGGCCCCCCACACUGGGACUGAGACACGGCCCAGACUCCUACGGGAGGCAGCAGUGAGGAAUAUUGGACAAUGGAUGGAAAUCUGAUCCAGUCAUGCCGCGUGCAGGAAGACUGCCUUAUGGGUUGUAAACUGCUUUUAUACGGGAGCAAUAAGGGUUACGUGUAGCCUGAUGAGAGUACUGUAUGAAUAAGGAUCGGCUAAUUCCGUGCCAGCAGCCGCGGUAAUACGGAGGAUCCGAGCGUUAUCCGGAAUUAUUGGGUUUAAAGGGUGCGUAGGCGGCUAUUUAAGUCAGCGGUGA